UACUGAUGUCAUUAUUUAAAUUAGGAAAAUUUAGCACUUCAACACAUUGAUUUAUAAGUACAUCUCAAAACAAGGUGGCUAUGUCCAUAACUUAUAAAUACUUCCACUAUUAUUCCAUUAACAAUGUAAAAUUAUUCAAGUAAGUGAGACUAGAAAAAUGGAAAACUAUAUAUUCAAGAGGAAAUAAUUCAUCAAGGCAAUCCACUCACUUUUGUUUUGGAGAGAAUAUUGUUAUAUUACAAAUUCAGAAACAUUAAACUUCAGUCUUGAAAAAGCAUGUUCAUCUAUAAAAUAUCUGACCAUCGAGAUUCACAUUAUAUUUGUCCCAUUAAUAUAAAUUUAAUAAUAUGAAUAAGUGAGGAACUAGAUAUUUAGACCCAUCCUCAAGAAAGCUAGGAGUCAAGGAAAUAUUUUUAAACAACUUGAAAUCUAAUCUGUAAAGAUAUAGUGAGAGAGAAUGCAAUAGUAAUGAUGCAUAUUUCUUAAUUCACACAUGUCCAUUUCAUUUCAAUUUUCUCCUCAUGACACCUAAAAGCUGUUGGGCAUCCAUAUAGCAAAGUCAUACAAAGUCCUGUCCUCACUGUUUCUCACUCUACUAGUCACUGUGAGCUUCUACUUCAUGCCAUUUCAUUAACUCAAUCCUUAUUUCCAUCCUAGAACUUGCCAUCAACUAGGGUUACUAGACAUUUUAAAUACUAGCACUCUAGCCCUCAUACUACGGCCCCAAGAGACCUCAAGUGUCUUGACCCCACAUUUGUCUUCAAAUCAAAGAGCUCCUAUCUUACUCUACUUCCUUCCUAAAACAUCACUUCAACAAUUCCCUGGACCACACCCUCAACCUGUUCACUCAUUUACCCUUCAGAUGCAAAAACCCUGGAAAUAUCAAGCAUUUUCCAACUUAUAAAAUUUCACCUUUGAACAGUAUUUCCAGAAAAUAAUUGGAUCAUAAGUGAGGGGUUCCCUGUUGCGUGUUUUUCAGCUUCCUUUCAGAUCAGACUGUUUUUCAGUUAGCCAAAACAUCUGAAUCAGGUAACAUGUGUUGGUGGCAACAGGGGUCACAGUCAACAUAUUCAACAACUAACCAAAUGGAACAGAUCAUAUUUUUAAAACUCCAGCCAAUAGCAACUCUAAUUGCAAGCAAAAGGAAACAACUCCAGAAAGGGAGGAAACUGGAGGGGGCGGGGGUGGGGGGUGGAAUUAAGUGAAAAAAAAAAAA
rnacentral:lncRNA from 1 species